CAUUGUUUUGCUAACGUUUCUUUACCUCUAUGCCCGCUUAAUUAGUCAAAUUCUCCAAACAUAUAUUUCGGCGCUUUCGACUAUUAGCUGAUUCCUACCUAUUUUCAUUCUUUUACUAUUUCAUUUAAUUAAUGUAGGUCGAAUUGUAAACGAGUUUCAUUUCCAUUGGACAAGAUAUUCGAAUAAAUGAGCUGCUUAAUCAUGUUAAUUG